UUCCGGUUCCAGGCGGUCGGAGCGUGGGGGCUGAGGUCGCGGGCUUGGUGGUUCUCCUUGUCUGGGGACGAAGUCGCUGCAGGAUUAUUUUAUGCAAACUGUUCUCUGGAAUGCAUCUUAGAAAUCUCCAAGCCUUUGAUGCAGAACUGUAUCAGUAAUCUAAUUAUUGAACCGUAACCAAGCUCACAGUAUCUCUGAGGGGUCUACCUCUGAAGAAAUGUAUAAGAAUAAAAAUUUAUCUCCACAGAACCCCAGAGAGAUGAUGACUUAGUAAUAGCAAAUAAAGAGGAGGACAAAAUUGAAAAUUAGAAUAUAAAAUGAAGUAUGCACAGUAGUCAAAAGGCUAUCUACCCACCCUCAUUCACCACCUCAAUGGAAAGGAUGUGGCAAUGUUGUGGAUUACACUAAGCAAGAGAUGGAAGAUUUCUUCCGUGUAAAACUGAACAGAGAAGUCUUGGGAUUCAUUGGGGAAGGAGAGGUUAAAAAGUAACAUUUAAUUGAAAGCUCCUGGAUCUCUACAGUUUUCCCCUCCCUUCUGCAGAGAUGGACUGAGGUGUGGUCUAGGGGUGGGCAGUACCACUGUUGGUGCUAGCUCGGUCAGCACCUCAAAAGCAGCCCAGAUCUCUGAUGUCAGCACAGCCACUUCAACAGUCAGGAAACUAAACCCCAAGAAAAGCUUCUGCAAAUACUGGAGACCUUGGCAUCUACCUUGACUACUGCAUCAUAAUCUUAAGAACUGAAUGUGUGUCCCCCAAAUUUCAUAUGUUGAAGCCCUGUUCCCCUAAUGUAACAGUAUUUAGAGAUGGGCCUUUGAAAGACACUAAGGUUUAGAUGAGAUCAUGAGGGUGGGGCCCCAUAAUGGGCUUAGAAUCCUUUUAAGAAGAAGAGAGACAAGAGCUCAUUCUCUGUCCUGUGAGGGAGAAAGCUGCUGUCUGCAAGCCAGGAAGAGGGCCCUUCCCAGGAAUAAAAUCUGUUGACACCCUGAUCUUGGACUUCUCAGCUUCUAGAACUGUUGGAAAAAAUUUUCUAUUGUUAAAGCCUCCCAAACUAUGGAAUUCUGUUACAGCAGACAGGCUGAGUAAAACUGAUGUUAAGAACAAAGCUAAACUGCAGGAUCCAUCAGAAGGAAAAGAUGAGAUUGGUGCAGAUGUAAUUGCAGCUUUUGCAUUGUUGAAAUUUGGCAUUUGAUAUUAGAAUACAUUCUUAAAUGUAGUUAUACCU